UACGGAGGGGGCUAGCGUUAUUCGGAAUUACUGGGCGUAAAGCGCGCGCAGGUGGCGCAAUAAGUGGCUGGUGAAAGCCCUCGGCUCAACCGAGGAACUGCCUGCCAAACUGCUGCGCUUGAGGCCGGGAGGGGGAAGCGGAAUUCCUGGUGUAGCGGUGAUCUGCGUAGAUACCAGGGGGAACACCGGUGGCGAAGGCGGCUUCCUGGACCGGUUCUGACACUCAUGCGCGAAAGCGUGGGGAGCAAACAGG
rnacentral:rRNA from 1 species